CACGUAGGGCGCGAGCGUUGUCCGGAAUUAUUGGGCGUAAAGAGCUCGUAGGCGGCCUGUUGCGUCCGCUGUGAAAGCCCCGGGGCUUAACCCCGGGUCGGCAGUGGAUACGGGCAGGCUAGAGGUAGGUAGGGGAGAAUGGAAUUCCCGGUGUAGCGGUGAAAUGCGCAGAUAUCGGGAGGAACACCGGUGGCGAAGGCGGUUCUCUGGGCCUUACCUGACGCUGAGGAGCGAAAAGCGUGGGGAGCGAACAGG
rnacentral:rRNA from 1 species